rnacentral:rRNA from 1 species
UCAGGCCUAACACAUGCAAGUCGAACGGCAGCGCGGGGGCAACCCUGGCGGCGAGUGGCGAACGGGUGAGUAACAUAUCGGAACGUGCCCUGGAGUGGGGGAUAACCAGUCGAAAGACUGGCUAAUACCGCAUACGAUCUACGGAUGAAAGUGGGGGAUCGCAAGACCUCAUGCUCGUGGAGCGGCCGAUAUCUGAUUAGCUAGUUGGUGGGGUAAGAGCCUACCAAGGCGACGAUCAGUAGCUGGUCUGAGAGGACGACCAGCCACACUGGGACUGAGACACGGCCCAGACUCCUACGGGAGGCAGCAGUGGGGAAUUUUGGACAAUGGGGGCAACCCUGAUCCAGCAAUGCCGCGUGUGUGAAGAAGGCCUUCGGGUUGUAAAGCACUUUUGUCAGGAACGAAACGGUGGGGGCUAAUAUCCUCUGCUAAUGAC